UUUAUGGAGAGUUUGAUCCUGGCUCAGGAUGAACGCUGGCGGCGUGCCUAAUACAUGCAAGUCGAGCGAACGGACGAGAAGCUUGCUUCUCUGAUGUUAGCGGCGGACGGGUGAGUAACACGUGGAUAACCUACCUAUAAGACUGGGAUAACUUCGGGAAACCGGAGCUAAUACCGGAUAAUAUUUUGAACCGCAUGGUUCAAAAGUGAAAGACGGUCUUUCUGUCACUUAUAGAUGGAUCCGCGCUGCAUUAGCUAGUUGGUAAGGUAACGGCUUACCAAGGCAACGAUGCAUAGCCGACCUGAGAGGGUGAUCGGCCACACUGGAACUGAGACACGGUCCAGACUCCUACGGGAGGCAGCAGUAGGGAAUCUUCCGCAAUGGGCGAAAGCCUGACGGAGCAACGCCGCGUGAGUGAUGAAGGUCUUCGGAUCGUAAAACUCUGUUAUUAGGGAAGAACAUAUGUGUAAGUAACUGUGCACAUCUUGACGGUACCUAAUCAGAAAGCCACGGCUAACUACGUGCCAGCAGCCGCGGUAAUACGUAGGUGGCAAGCGUUAUCCGGAAUUAUUGGGCGUAAAGCGCGCGUAGGCGGUUUUUUAAGUCUGAUGUGAAAGCCCACGGCUCAACCGUGGAGGGUCAUUGGAAACUGGAAAACUUGAGUGCAGAAGAGGAAAGUGGAAUUCCAUGUGUAGCGGUGAAAUGCGCAGAGAUAUGGAGGAACACCAGUGGCGAAGGCGACUUUCUGGUCUGUAACUGACGCUGAUGUGCGAAAGCGUGGGGAUCAAACAGGAUUAGAUACCCUGGUAGUCCACGCCGUAAACGAUGAGUGCUAAGUGUUAGGGGGUUUCCGCCCCUUAGUGCUGCAGCUAACGCAUUAAGCACUCCGCCUGGGGAGUACGACCGCAAGGUUGAAACUCAAAGGAAUUGACGGGGACCCGCACAAGCGGUGGAGCAUGUGGUUUAAUUCGAAGCAACGCGAAGAACCUUACCAAAUCUUGACAUCCUUUGACAACUCUAGAGAUAGAGCUUUCCCCUUCGGGGGACAAAGUGACAGGUGGUGCAUGGUUGUCGUCAGCUCGUGUCGUGAGAUGUUGGGUUAAGUCCCGCAACGAGCGCAACCCUUAAGCUUAGUUGCCAUCAUUAAGUUGGGCACUCUAAGUUGACUGCCGGUGACAAACCGGAGGAAGGUGGGGAUGACGUCAAAUCAUCAUGCCCCUUAUGAUUUGGGCUACACACGUGCUACAAUGGACAAUACAAAGGGCAGCGAAACCGCGAGGUCAAGCAAAUCCCAUAAAGUUGUUCUCAGUUCGGAUUGUAGUCUGCAACUCGACUACAUGAAGCUGGAAUCGCUAGUAAUCGUAGAUCAGCAUGCUACGGUGAAUACGUUCCCGGGUCUUGUACACACCGCCCGUCACACCACGAGAGUUUGUAACACCCGAAGCCGGUGGAGUAACCUUUUAGGAGCUAGCCGUCGAAGGUGGGACAAAUGAUUGGGGUGAAGUCGUAACAAGGUAGCCGUAUCGGAAGGUGCGGCUGGAUCACCUCCUUU
rnacentral:rRNA from 1 species